UACGAAGGGUGCAAGCGUUACUCGGAAUUACUGGGCGUAAAGAGCUCGUAGGCGGUGUGUCGCGUCGGCCGUGAAAACCUGCAGCUUAACUGUGGGUUUGCGGUCGAUACGGGCAGACUAGAGGUAUGCAGGGGAGAACGGAAUUCCUGGUGUAGCGGUGAAAUGCGCAGAUAUCAGGAGGAACACCGGUGGCGAAGGCGGAUCUCUGGGCCGUAACUGACGCUGAGGAGCGAAAGCAUGGGGAGCGAACAGG
rnacentral:rRNA from 1 species